UUCAGCUGGACUCAGCAUUUGACAGUCGACGUCAAGCACCACGUACGAACUUGAAAUUUGUUUACUUACUCAAAAGGAUAUCCGUUAUUCAUCUCUAAAUAUUUCAUCAAAUAAGUUUGUCUGUACAGGUCCACAAAGGAGUUUCUUUCCAUUAUGCACUGUGAGUUGUUGGAAGAAAACUCUGGUGUUUUCUACAGUGAUAAGUUGGACGAGUAUUUUAUUGCCGUGAAUACGUCUACAGCUCCUGAAGAGAUAAACAGGAUUAUUUUUACCCGUUCACUUCUUCAACCAAUGAUGGAGAAAAGGAUGAUGAUGCUUGUUCAGUAGUUGGGGAACACGCGCGAAGACACUUCUGCAGGUCCUGAAAAAGUAAACAAGAUAAUUUGUUCCCAUUCCCUUUUUUCAACCAAGUGAUGUAUACAAGUAGAUGAGGCAACUCCUGCAGCACUUGGACAAAAAGGAAGAAACAUAUACAGGUUAAUGUUGUCAUAUUUUAUCUAAUUGUUUGA